GAUGAACGCUGGCGGCGUGCCUAAUACAUGCAAGUCGAGCGAACGGACGAGAAGCUUGCUUCUCUGAUGUUAGCGGCGGACGGGUGAGUAACACGUGGAUAACCUACCUAUAAGACUGGGAUAACUUCGGGAAACCGGAGCUAAUACCGGAUGAUAUUUUGAACCGCAUGGUUCAAAAGUGAAAGACGGUCUUGCUGUCACUUAUAGAUGGAUCCGCGCCGCAUUAGCUAGUUGGUAAGGUAACGGCUUACCAAGGCAACGAUGCAUAGCCGACCUGAGAGGGUGAUCGGCCACACUGGAACUGAGACACGGUCCAGACUCCUACGGGAGGCAGCAGUAGGGAAUCUUCCGCAAUGGGCGAAAGCCUGACGGAGCAACCCCGCGUGAGUGAUGAAGGUCUUCGGAUCGUAAAACUCUGUUAUUAGGGAAGAACAUAUGUGUAAGUAACUGUGCACAUCUUGACGGUACCUAAUCAGAAAGCCACGGCUAACUACGUG
rnacentral:rRNA from 1 species